rnacentral:tRNA from 1 species
GCUUUCGUGGUGUAACGGUAGCGCACUCGGCACUUAAUCGAGAGGUCCAGGUUCGAGUCCCGGCGACGACA